GACGACCGCUGGCGGCGUGCUUAACACAUGCCAGUCGAACGGAAAGGCCCUGCUUUUGUGGGGUGCUCGAGUGGCGAACGGGUGAGUAACACGUGAGUAACCUGCCCUUGACUUUGGGAUAACUUCAGGAAACUGGGGCUAAUACCGGAUAGGAGCUCCUGCUGCAUGGUGGGGGUUGGAAAGUUUCGGCGGUUGGGGAUGGACUCGCGGCUUAUCAGCUUGUUGGUGGGGUAGUGGCUUACCAAGGCUUUGACGGGUAGCCGGCCUGAGAGGGUGACCGGCCACAUUGGGACUGAGAUACGGCCCAGACUCCUACGGGAGGCAGCAGUGGGGAAUAUUGCACAAUGGGCGGAAGCCUGAUGCAGCAACGCCGCGUGCGGGAUGACGGCCUUCGGGUUGUAAACCGCUUUCGCCUGUGACGAAGCGUGAGUGACGGUAAUGGGUAAAGAAGCACCGGCUAACUGCGUG
rnacentral:rRNA from 1 species